rnacentral:rRNA from 1 species
GAUGAACGCUGGCGGCGUGCCUAAUACAUGCAAGUCGAGCGAAUGGAUUAAGAGCUUGCUCUUAUGAAGUUAGCGGCGGACGGGUGAGUAACACGUGGGUAACCUGCCCAUAAGACUGGGAUAACUCCGGGAAACCGGGGCUAAUACCGGAUAACAUUUUGAACCGCAUGGUUCGAAAUUGAAAGGCGGCUUCGGCUGUCACUUAUGGAUGGACCCGCGUCGCAUUAGCUAGUUGGUGAGGUAACGGCUCACCAAGGCAACGAUGCGUAGCCGAGCUGAGAGGGUGAUCGGCCACACUGGGACUGAGACACGGCCCAGACUCCUACGGGAGGCAGCAGUAGGGAACCUUCCACAAUGGACGAAAGUCUGACGGAGCAACGCCGCGUGAGUGAUGAAGGCUUUCGGGUCGUAAAACUCUGUUGUUAGGGAAGAACAAGUGCUAGUUGAAUAAGCUGACACCUUGACGGUACCUAACCAGAAAGCCACGGCUAACUACGUGCCAGCAGCCGCAGUAA